AGUGACCCCCCCCAUCUCUCUUCAUCCCCUAAACAUAAAUGCAGUCCAAUUAAUCUGGCGUUAGCAGACCUAUCAAACUUGUGAAGCCAGUCCUAACAACAUGGUGCAGACAGACAGAUGCCCGCCCUGCUCAGACUCACAGGACCAGCACAGAUCAUGAGUGAUGCAAUGUGUCAAGGCUGCACAUGGCCGGAUGCAUAUGGAGCAGCCCCCAACUGGGGGUGCUUAUCAGUACCUUACUAGACCACUUGGUAGCUUCCCGAUGCAAGGACUGAGCCGCGGCCAGAAUGGGCUGGUUGACCGGCUGAUUGGAUGGCAUUAACAGCAGCUCAGGUUCGUAAUCGUCUUCCAUGUCAGGGGGGACAGGGAAGCCAGCAGCAUCGGCCGCAUCUGCCUCAGCUACAACACCUAUACCCACCUCAGCGGCUGGGAUGCCCGGCUUUGUCGAUGGCGGGAAGGAUGAGAAAUAGGGAUAGUGUUAGUAAGAGCAAUACGACUUGGGAAACUGGGCUUCAGCUGGUUUAGUAACCAAAGCCUGCCUAGGAUGAGAAAGAAACAUGUUCUCUAGGAGCCUUGUGUACCAAGCUUCACAGAAGGGGGAAUUCUCAGCCUCCAGCGCCACUCAGCCCAAGCCACUGUGUGGUGAGAGAAGAAAAGGGACUCACUCCAAUGGCAAAGGGCUUCUAGAGAAAUCUUUACACCAAGAAAGCAAGUGGCAUCCAUUUCUUUAAUAUACUUGAUACUAAAGUCAAACUUGACAAGAGUGAUUCUCACAUGAGAAUAUUUCUGAGGAGCCAAACAACCAAACGAUAGUAGCAAAUUACCUUUAAAAGGAAUCCGGAGAGAAAAAGUAAAUGCAGCCACACAAGUUACUUUGUACAGAACAAAGUGAACACUGCUGGAUCAUAUGGUCACUGUUCUACAUUUUCCUGGGACACAGGAGGCAAUUUGGGUCAGCUCUGCAGCUGCCAGACAUAGAUUAUUUCCUUCAUGAGUUAAAAGUCCCAGAAUUAAAAAUGAUACAUCAGAGGUAACGAAUACCAAACUAGGAAAGAGGCAGGAAAAACAAACACAAUGGUGACUGAAGAGAACUUAAGUACCCCACUGUCACCCAGCUGUAAGGAGCCUCAAGAAGCCACCUCGUCAGCCGCCCAUCUCAGGGAACACCCACACAUCAGACCAGCUCUCUAUCCCCUCAAGGUCUUCUGAGGCAAAGCUUCUACCAUCUCUUUUUGCAUCCAUUGCUAGUACCACCUCAGAAAGCUUCUCCUUGGGUACAACCUAAAUUGCUUGCAAAAUAGGUUCUCACUCACCCCAAACUCUGCUUAUCUAGUUCACAGAUAGAAUAAUAUGUGAACUUGGCAAGUGACUGCAGCUGAGCUCACAGAAGCUCAGAAGAAUGGUGCUCAUUUAAGAAUGAGAAUCAUGAUGGAGAGAACAUGAAUUUAGAACCAGGGAUGGAGAUUAUAAAAGCCAGAUGCUGAAAAUAGACUAACAUGGAAAGAAAAUUAAAAACUGCCACAAUGAAGCCAAACCAUUUAUACAAAGAAUGAUGAAUACAGGUUCUUUACAUCAAACAUCUGUACUCAAGAGGAAGUAGUUUAUAUGGAAUUUUCUUUGAGGUUGUUACCACUCCUAAAAGUCUUAACCUGCACAUGAAACCUGACUCCAAAGGGUGACGAUGUUGGAGGAUUCAGGGCCAACAAGGGGUUCAGAUACCAUCUAAACUCUUUUGCCUAAACUCAACCAAGACCCAUCUCUGCUGCUCAGAAGAAAAGCCAGCUCACUGCUGCUAAGGCUCAGAGUCCCACAGUGUACAAAGACAGAUAGGUUGACAGACACACGAACAGAUAUUCCUCCCCAGCCCAGUACACACAUGGUUCAAGUAGCUUCUGACUUCACACAACUCAAAGUCAGCAAACUCCUGAUCUUGCACACUUCAGGAGAUAGACCUCAGGACUUCUGGCCACAAAUGGCAGAGUGGGGCAAGUAAUGUGGGCCAAUGCUGUCUGCUUUUAAGUUUGUUUGUUUUUUUAAAUAAUUCAUGUAUAUUUUUUGUUCUGCAUAGUGUAUUUUGGUUCAUUGUAAUGAAAUUUAAAUUUCCUUUAAAAUCUUCACUGUCACCCUCCCCCACUCCCCAUGCACAGUGGGGCUCUGCCACAUGCAGUUGGAGAGAUACCAUUAUAAAUAAUUCUACAGGUCAGGUCCAACACCAGCAAAGUCUCCCUUCCUUCUUAGAACCUGGGCUCACAGCUAACAGUUCAGCAAAAUACAGAGUUAAAAACCAAUGUGAAUUUCCCAGCCUGAAAAAAAUCCAAGCUCAUCUGUUAGCUAAAAAAGAGAAAACAAGUUGUAAGUAAAGUCCUAAAACUACUCCCCCCUGGAAUUCUUUCCUUUCUUCUAAAAAGCAUCCCUAGAAAACCCACCCAUAUUGACUCCACAUAAGACCACCCACACUGAGCCACAAGGACCACCUGCUUCAAUCUCAACAGAAGCAGGUUUCUCUACAAAAAGCUAGCAGUGGCCGGGCGCAGUGGCUCACGCCUAUAAUCCCAGCACUUUGGGAGGCCAAGGCAGGUGGGUCACCUGAGGUCAGGAGUUCGAGACCAGCCUGCCCAAAAUGGUGAAACCCCAUCUCUACU
rnacentral:lncRNA from 10 species